CAGUAGCCGCGGUAAUACGGAGGGUGCAAGCGUUAAUCGGAAUUACUGGGCGUAAAGCGUGCGCAGGCGGUUAUAUAAGACAGAUGUGAAAUCCCCGGGCUCAACCUGGGAACUGCAUUUGUGACUGUAUAGCUAGAGUACGGCAGAGGGGGAUGGAAUUCCGCGUGUAGCAGUGAAAUGCGUAGAUAUGCGGAGGAACAACGAUGGCGAAGGCAAUCCCCUGGGCCUGUACUGACGCUCAUGCACGAAAGCGUGGGGAGCAAACAGGAUUAGAUACCCCAGUAGUCCCUGUCUCUUAUAA
rnacentral:rRNA from 1 species